UGCCAGUGAUGAUGAUUUAACAUUUCUGACACCUCGUAUGAGUGCUGCAAAAGCACUUCUUGAUUACGUUUAAGUUCUGAGGCUC